rnacentral:rRNA from 1 species
GCAGUCGAACGAUGAAGCCCUUCGGGGUGGAUUAGUGGCGAACGGGUGAGUAACACGUGGGCAAUCUGCCCUUCACUCUGGGACAAGCCCUGGAAACGGGGUCUAAUACCGGAUAACACUUACCUCCUCCUGGGGGUGGGUUAAAAGCUCCGGCGGUGAAGGAUGAGCCCGCGGCCUAUCAGCUUGUUGGUGGGGUAAUGGCCUACCAAGGCGACGACGGGUAGCCGGCCUGAGAGGGCGACCGGCCACACUGGGACUGAGACACGGCCCAGACUCCUACGGGAGGCAGCAGUGGGGAAUAUUGCACAAUGGGCGAAAGCCUGAUGCAGCGACGCCGCGUGAGGGAUGACGGCCUUCGGGUUGUAAACCUCUUUCAGCAGGGAAGAAGCGCAAGUGACGGUACCUGCAGAAGAAGCACCGGCUAACUACGUGCCAGCAGCCGCGGUAAUACGUAGGGUGCGAGCGUUGUCCGGAAUUAUUGGGCGUAAAGAGCUCGUAGGCGGUCUGUCACGUCGGAUGUGAAAGCCCGGGGCUUAACCCCGGGUCUGCAUUCGAUACGGGCAGACUAGAGUGUGGUAGGGGAGAUCGGAAUUCCUGGUGUAGCGGUGAAAUGCGCAGAUAUCANGAGGAACACCGGUGGCGAAGGCGGAUCUCUGGGCCAUUACUGACGCUGAGGAGCGAAAGCGUGGGGAGCGAACAGGAUUAGAUACCCUGGUAGUC